rnacentral:lncRNA from 1 species
UGUAGUUCAACUAAAACAUUAUUUCUUAACGAACCCACUAAGAUUGGUUUUUUAUUCUCGUUUUUUUUUCCUUAUAAUUAUUGAGUCAAAUGUUCUAGUUUUAUCCAAAAUUUUCAAAUUUGUCGGGUAUUAUAUUGUUUUCUUCUGUCAUCAAUUGGAAUUUGAGAAACAUCCAUGUUUCAUUAUCAUGUACUCCAUCGCUAAUCAAGGCCCAAUUCAGAAGCAGUUUAAUCUUCAAUCGUCA